UACGUAGGGCGCGAGCGUUAUCCGGAAUUAUUGGGCGUAAAGAGCUCGUAGGCGGUUUGUCACGUCUGCUGUGAAAACUGGAGGCUCAACCUCCAGCCUGCAGUGGGUACGGGCAGACUAGAGUGCGGUAGGGGAGAUUGGAAUUCCUGGUGUAGCGGUGGAAUGCGCAGAUAUCAGGAGGAACGCCGAUGGCGAAGGCAGAUCUCUGGGCCGUAACUGACGCUGAGGAGCGAAAGCAUGGGGAGCGAACAGG
rnacentral:rRNA from 1 species